AACGAACGCUGGCGGCAUGCCUAACACAUGCAAGUCGAACGAGACCUUCGGGUCUAGUUGCGCUCGGGUGCGUAACGCGUGGGAACCUGCCCGUAGGUUCGGUAUAACUCCCCGUAAGGGGUGCUAAUACCGGAGAAUGUCUUCGGACCAAAGAUUUAUCGCCGUUGGAUGGGGCCGCGUUGGAUUCGCUGGUUGGUAGGGUAAUAGCCUCCCAAGGCGUCGAUGCAUAGCUGGUCUGAUAGGAUGACAAGCCACACUGGAGAUGCGGCACGGCCCAGAAUGCUACGGGAGGCAGCAGUGGGGAAUAUUGGACGAGGGGCGAUAGCCUGAUACAGCAAUGCCGCGUGAGUGAUGCAGGCCGUAGGGUUGUAAAGCUCUUUUUCACGGGAUGAUAAUGACAGUAACGGGAGAAUAAGCUCCGGCUAACUACGUG
rnacentral:rRNA from 1 species